GAUGAAGAACGUAGCGAAAUGCGAUAAGUAAUGCGAAUUGCAGAAUCCGUGAGUCAUCGAAUCUUUGAACGCACAUUGCGCCCCUUGGUUAUUCCGAAGGGCAUGCCUGUUCGAGCGUCAUUAUCACCCCUCAAGCCCUGGCUUGGUGUUGGACUUUAGUUAUAGCUUUGCCUAUCAACUAGUCUCAAAGAUAGUGACGGCGCCCCAGAGGGAACCGGGUACGAGGAGCUUUUUACUAAGCAUGUAUCUGGGACGACUCUGAUGGGCGACGGUCUUGUUAUACUUUUUACCUAAGUGUUGACCUCGGAUCAGGUAGGAAUACCCGCUGAACUUAAGCAUAUCAAUAAGCGGAGGA
rnacentral:misc_RNA from 1 species